GAUGAAGAACGCAGCGAAAUGCGAUAAGUAAUGUGAAUUGCAGAAUUCAGUGAAUCAUCGAAUCUUUGAACGCACAUUGCGCCCGCCAGUAUUCUGGCGGGCAUGCCUGUUCGAGCGUCAUUUCAACCCUCAGGGCCCUUUUGGACCUGGCGUUGGGGCUCGGCCGCUACCCUGCGGCCGUCCCCGAAAGAUAGUGGCGGUCUCGCUGUAGCCUCCUCUGCGUAGUAGUUACAUCUCGCACUGGAACGCGGCGCGGCCAUGCUGUUAAACACCCCACUUCUCAAGGUUGACCUCGGAUCAGGUAGGAAUACCCGCUGAACUUAAGCAUAUCAAUAAGCGGAGGA
rnacentral:misc_RNA from 1 species